AACAGGAUUAGAUACCCUGGUAGUCCAUGCCGUAAACGAUGAGUGCUAGGUGUUGGAGGGUUUCCGCCCUUCAGUGCCGGAGCUAACGCAUUAAGCACUCCGCCUGGGGAGUACGACCGCAAGGUUGAAACUCAAAGGAAUUGACGGGGGCCCGCACAAGCGGUGGAGCAUGUGGUUUAAUUCGAAGCUACGCGAAGAACCUUACCAGGUCUUGACAUCUUGCGCCAACCCUAGAGAUAGGGCGUUUCCUUCGGGAACGCAAUGACAGGUGGUGCAUGGUCGUCGUCAGCUCGUGUCGUGAGAUGUUGGGUUAAGUUCCGCAACGAGCGCAACCCUUGUUACUAGUUGCCAGCAUUAAGUUGGGCACUCUAGUGAGACUGCCGGUGACAAACCGGAGGAAGGUGGGGACGACGUCAGAUCAUCAUGCCCCUUAUGACCUGGGCUACACACGUGCUACAAUGGACGGUACAACGAGUCGCGAACUCGCGAGGGCAAGCAAAUCUCUUAAAACCGUUCUCAGUUCGGACUGCAGGCUGCAACUCGCCUGCACGAAGUCGGAAUCGCUAGUAAUCGCGGAUCAGCAUGCCGCGGUGAAUACGUUCCCGGGCCUUGUACACACCGCCCGUCACACCAUGAGAGUUUGUAACACCCAAAGUCGGUGGGGUAACCUUUUAGGAGCCAGCCGCCUAAGGUGGGACAGAUGAUUAGGGUGAAGUCGUAACAAGGUAACC
rnacentral:rRNA from 1 species